rnacentral:rRNA from 1 species
UACGUAGGGGGCUAGCGUUGUCCGGAAUCAUUGGGCGUAAAGAGCGUGUAGGCGGUCCGGUAAGUCCGCUGUGAAAGUCAAAGGCUCAACCUUUGAAUGCCGGUGGAUACUGCGAGGCUAGAGUCCGGAAGAGGCGAGUGGAACUCCUGGUGUAGCGGUGGAAUGCGCAGAUAUCAGGAAGAACACCAACGGCGAAGGCAGCUCGCUAGGACGGUACUGACGCUAAGGCGCGAAAGCGUGGGGAGCAAACAGG